CUCAGAAAUGUGCUUUAAGAAGAUAGAUGCAGAAGCUCAAACUGAAGGUCCCAAACAGAAGCACGAUCACUGUUCAAUGAAGUACACUCGGCUUCAAUUGGUGCACACGCAGGCACUGUUAAAACCAGAUCCUCAAUGUACUUCAGAAAUGAUUGGGAUGGCAUGACAGUGGACAUUGACAGAUGGGUCUCUGAAUGCGACGGAUGUCAGAGGACUGGUGACUCUUUGGCUGUGACACAGCCAUUACAAAGCAUUAAGGU